GACGAACGCUGGCGGCGUGCCUAAUACAUGCAAGUUGAGCGCUGAAGGUUGGUACUUGUACCAACUGGAUGAGCAGCGAACGGGUGAGUAACGCGUGGGGAAUCUGCCUUUGAGCGGGGGACAACAUUUGGAAACGAAUGCUAAUACCGCAUAAAAACUUUAAACGCAAGUUUUAAGUUUGAAAGAUGCAAUUGCAUCACUCAAAGAUGAUCCCGCGUUGUAUUAGCUAGUUGGUGAGGUAAAGGCUCACCAAGGCGAUGAUACAUAGCCGACCUGAGAGGGUGAUCGGCCACAUUGGGACGGAGACACGGCCCAAACUCCUACGGGAGGCAGCAGUAGGGAAUCUUCGGCAAUGGACGAAAGUCUGACCGAGCAUCGCCGCGUGAGUGAAGAAGGUUUUCGGAUCGUAAAACUCUGUUGGUAGAGAAGAACGUUGGUGAGAGUGGAAAGCUCAUCAAGUGACGGUAACUACCCAGAAAGGGACGGCUAACUACGUG
rnacentral:rRNA from 1 species